rnacentral:tRNA from 1 species
GGGGUUGUGGCUCAGGGGUAGAGUGCCUAGCACGUCCAAGGCCCUGGGUUCGAUUCUCAGCACCACA